CUCUCUAAUAUCAUUUGUUUUACUGUUGAAUGGCAGAUUAAAAAGCUUGCGCUGAUGAUACAGAAGAGUAAGCACCUAGUAGUAUUUACAGGUGCAGGAAUAUCAACAUCUUGUGGGAUACCUGAUUUCCGAGGUCCUAAAGGAGUGUGGACACUUCAGCGUGAAGGAAAAGGCGUGCAUGAAGCAUCCUUGUCUUUUCAUCGGGCAAUGCCAAGUAUGACACAUAUGGCUUUGGUUGAACUUGA